rnacentral:rRNA from 1 species
GACGAACGCUGGCGGCGUGCUUAACACAUGCAAGUCGAACGGUAAGGCCCUUCGGGGUACACGAGUGGCGAACGGGUGAGUAACACGUGGGUGAUCUGCCCUGCACUUCGGGAUAAGCCUGGGAAACUGGGUCUAAUACCGGAUAGGACCACUGCCUGCAUGGGUGGUGGUGGAAAGCUUUUGCGGUGUGGGAUGGGCCCGCGGCCUAUCAGCUUGUUGGUGGGGUGAUGGCCUACCAAGGCGACGACGGGUAGCCGGCCUGAGAGGGUGACCGGCCACACUGGGACUGAGAGACGGCCCAGACUCCUACGGGAGGCAGCAGUGGGGAAUAUUGCACAAUGGGCGCAAGCCUGAUGCAGCGACGCCUCGUGAGGGAUGACGGCCUUCGGGUUGUAAACCUCUUUCAGCACCGACGAAGCGCAAGUGACGGUAGGUGCAGAAGAAGGACCGGCCAACUACGUGCCAGCAGCCGCCGUAA